ensembl:lncRNA novel transcript
GUUUGGUUGUUAUUGUUGUAGAACGAGCAACAGAAAAACAACACUUGUCUGCCUGAGAAGGCUCCGGAAAAAAAAAAAAAAAAAAGGAAGAAAAGCGACCUCAAAGAGAUGAGCUCUCGGCUCAGUUGUCAGCAAACAACAACACUCCCCCGCUCCUCCGCUGGGCCAUCCUCCCAGCCCCAGCCCGCCGGAGAGGACAGACCGACGCACCGACAGGCCCCUCUCCCCCUCGCCCGUCUUUGUUACAUCUUUAGCAGCUUUGUGCGUAGCUGGCGGCCUCGAGCAGAAUCUGCACGUUCUGCAGAAAAGUGUUGAUGUGCUUCUCCAUCGAGUUCUCGCUGGUGUUGAAAAUGUCUGAGAAGGGGCACCUGGGCUUGGCCCCAGCGGGGUCCUCGGGCAGGGCCGGGGGCUGGGGCGCGGCCACGGCGGGGGGCACAGCCGGGGGCGCGGCGGGGGCCAGCCCCGCGCCC